rnacentral:rRNA from 1 species
UGGGUAGUCCGCACGAGCGCACCUUAUCUUCAGUUGCCAGCGGUUCGGCCGGGCACUCCGAAGAAACUGCCGGUGACAAGCCGGAGGAAGGUGGGGAUGACGUCAAGUCCUCAUGGCCCUUAUGGGCUGGGCUACACACGUGCUACAAUGGCGGUGACAAUGGGAUGCGAAGGGGCGACCCGGAGCUAAUCUCCAAAAGCCGUCUCAGUUCGAAUUGUACUCUGCAACUCGAGUGCAUGAAGGCGGAAUCGCUAGUAAUCGCGGAUCAGCAUGCCGCGGUGAAUACGUUCCCGGGCCUUGUACACACCGCCCGUCACACCAUGGGAGUUGGUUUUACCCGAAGCCGGUGUGCUAACCGCAAGGAGGCAGCCGUCCACGGUGAGGUCAGCGACUGGGGUGAAGUCGUAACAAGGUAGCCGUAGGGGAACCUGCGGCUGGAUCACCUCCUUUCU